rnacentral:misc_RNA from 1 species
GGAGGGAUCAUUAACACAUAUACAUAUGCAGACAUACAUGUGUUUCGAAAGGGACAUGUGGAUGUGUGUGUAUACUACCAACAACGUGAACAAUGGUGAGGCAGCUUGCCUGUCUCAUCGCUCUCCCCUACUGUGUGUAGGCAGGCUACGUGCGUGUAUGUAUGUAUAUGCCCGUCUCCUCCUCAUGCUUUAGGACCAUUUUUUACACAAACGAACAAACACAUUAACCCAGUACUAUUACUACACAUUGUACUGCAAUCGUAUGUGUGUGUGUGUAUGCUUGCAUAUCUGCCCACUCCUACCUGCAGUGUUUUCUAAUCAAAACUAAAUGUACAACUGUUAGCAAUGGAUAUCUUGGUUCUCGUAACGAUGAAGAACGCAGCGAAAUGCGAUAUGUAAUGCGAAUUGCAGAAUUCAGUGAAUCAUCAAAUUUUUCAACGCAAAUGGCGCUUGAGGGAUAGACCCACAAGCACGACUCUCUCAGUAUCAGUGAAAACCAUUACACACUCAUCGCAUGUAUACAUACAUCAGUAUGCACACAUGCGAUGGACAAUGAAAGUCAGGCGAGGUGGGUAUGUGUCUGUCUAUGACUGUCACAUGCUGCAUACGUCUGUCUUUUUAAAUGUUGUUUCCUGACUGUGAAUCGUUCGAACAAUGAUUGAGUGACUUGGUGUGUGUGUGUGUGUGUGUGUGUUUACAUACUCAUGCAUACAUGCACACGACUAUUGCAAUACUGUUAGUAUUGACGUGGCUGAUACUCGUUGCACUGUGUUCACACACAUUGCCAAUGUUGUUUUUCAUACGUCGAUGCGCUAUGAUCGUAUAUAGCAUUAGACAUGCAUGCAGGCGUAUACAUACAUAUGUAUGUAUAUGUAUGCAGACAGACAGCUCACUCGCAUACAUGAUUGUUGCCCGAACACAGCUCACAGUAGCAUAUGGAGCAGAGGCAGUAUGCACGUCUACUCGCGUUUACGUGCGUUCUCUCCUCUUCUCUCCCCUUGUCAUGUUGAUCUGAGAUGAAUCGCGACUACCCCCUGAAUUUAAGCAUAUUAAUAAGGGGAGGAAAAGAACAUAACCAUGAUUGCCUCAGUAACGGCGAGUGAAGCGGCAACAGCUCAACGUGAAAAUCGUCCACCCAUGCGGGUGAGACGAGAUGUAUCCUAUCGACGCGCUAUCAGCGAGUGGCGGCUGUGUAAGUCCCUUGGAAGAGGGCAUCAAAGAGGGUGAGAAUCCCGUCUCCUCACAGCACGUGCAACACACCGCGUACGAUGCGCGCUCCUCGAGUCGAGUUGUUUGGGAUUGCAGCUCUAAUUGGGUGGUAAGUUUCAUCUAAAGCUAAAUACACACGAGAGACCGAUAGCGAACAAGUACCGUGAGGGAAAGAUGAAAAGAACUUUGAAAAGAGAGUGAAACAGUACUUGAAAUUGCUAAGAGGGAAGCGCUGAGCACUAGUCGAAUGGUGUGAUGAUUCAUUUUGCCCGCAUCAUGAGUGGUCGAUCCGCCCGUCUCUCACGUUGGUUAACUCGUGAGGGGCGGGUGGGCUCGGUUGGCUACUGUGCGGGUACUGUGAGUUGUACCGGUCAGAAUGGGUUCGACUGGCCUGUGAAAAGCCCGCGCGAAAGGUAGGCAGUAGCAAUACUGCUGUUAUAGUCGUGCGGGUCUAGCAGGUGUCGGACUGAGGAAAAACAGUUUUAUGAUGCUCCACUAGGCUUCGCUGCGGGCACCAGAGGGGGGCAGAGUGCGAACACGUCAAUGACGUGCAGCUCUCCUCUCUCCUCUCUCAACGUGUCCGACAGUCGAUAUGCAUGCAUAACGAUUCUGACAAAAUAGUGCUCAUCGACCCGUCUUGAAACACGGACCAAGGAGUCUAACAUAUAUGCGAGUAUUAGGGUUGACCAAGCCCACGAUGCGCAAUGAAAGUAAAGGUGCGGGUUACUGCACUGAGGUAGGAAGGCGGGCAGCAAUGCCUGUUGGCACUAUCGACCGAUCAUCACUUGUGAGUAGAUUUGAGUAAGAGCAUAUCUGUUGGGACCCGAAAGAUGGUGAUCUAUGCCUGAACAGGGUGAAGCCAGGGGAAACUCUGGUGGAGGCUCGUAGCGAUACUGACGUGCAAAUCGUUCGUCUGAUUUGGGUAUAGGGGCGAAAGACUAAUCGAACUAUCUAGUAGCUGGUUCCCUC